rnacentral:rRNA from 1 species
GUGGCAGGGGCGGCGGUAAUACCAGCUCUCCGAGUAGUGUGGACGUUUAUUGGGCCUAAAGCAUCCGUAGCUUGCUAGAUAAGUCCUCUGUUAAAUCCACCGAUUCAAUCGUUGGAUUGCGGGGGAUACUGUUUGGCUAGGGGACGGGAGAGGUCGACGGUAUUUCCGGGGUAGGGGUGAAAUCCUAUAAUCCCGGGAAGACCACUAGUGGCGAAGGCUGUCGACUAGAACGCGCCCGACGGUGAGGGAUGAAAGCUGGGGGAGCGAACCGGAUUAGAUACCCGGGUAGUCCCAGCUGUAAACGAUGCAGGCUAGGUGUUUGGGCGGCCACGAGCCGCCCUAGUGCCGCAGGGAAGCUGUUAAGCCUGCCGCCUGGGGAGUACGGCCGCAAGGCUGAAACUUAAAGGAAUUGGCGAGGGAGCACCACAAGGGGUGAAGCUUGCGGUUUAAUUGGAGUCAACGCCGGAAAUCUCACCGGGAUCGACAGCAGUAUGAAGGCCAGAUUAAAGGUCUUGCUAGACGAGCUGAGAGGAGGUGCAUGGCCGUCGCCAGUUCGUGCCGUGAGGUGUCCUGUUAAGUCAGGCAACGAUCGAGACCCGCGUCCUCUGUUGCUACUGGUUUUGUGCCAGGCACACUGAGGAGACCGCCGCUGAUAAAGCGGAGGAAGGAGCGGGCCACGGCAGGUCAGUAUGCCCCGAAUAUCCCGGGCCACACGCGAGCUGCAAUGGCAGGUACAAUGGGUUCCGACCUCGUAAGGGGAAGGCAAUCUCGAAAGCCUGCCGUAGUUGGGAUCGAGGGUUGAAACUCACCCUCGUGAACAUGGAAUCCCUAGUAAUCACGUGUCACUAGCGCGCGGUGAAUACGUCCCUGCUCCUUGCACACACCGCCCGUCGUUCCACCCGAGCGACUCCUGGGUGAGGCGUGGUCUUCCUUGGCUGCGUCGAAUCUGGGUUUCGCAAGGGGGGAAAAGUCGUAACAAGGUAACC